UACGGGGGGGGCAAGCGUUGUUCGGAAUUACUGGGCGUAAAGGGCUCGUAGGUGGCCAACUAAGUCAUGCGUGAAAUCCCUCGGCUUAACCGGGGAACUGCGUCUGAUACUGGAUGGCUUGAGUUUGGGAGAGGGAUGCGGAAUUCCAGGUGUAGCGGUGAAAUGCGUAGAUAUCUGGAGGAACACCGGUGGCGAAGGCGGCAUCCUGGACCAACACUGACACUGAGGAGCGAAAGCGUGGGGAGCAAACAGG
rnacentral:rRNA from 1 species